rnacentral:pre_miRNA from 1 species
GUGUGUGUGUAUGUGUUAUGGUGUUCAGCACCAAGGACAUGUAUGUAUGUGUUCCUAUGUGUGUAUGGUGUUCAGCACCAAGGACAGGUAUGUAUGUGU